CAAACAAAUGCGGAUGGAGGAAGCCAAAAACGCAAAAAAAUAAGGGAAUGGCGAUACGUUGUGCAUGAUUAUGGUACCUGUCCACAGUCAUCUUUUUUUUUUUUUUUUUUUU
rnacentral:ribozyme from 1 species